rnacentral:rRNA from 1 species
AUUGAACGCUGGCGGCAUGCCUUACACAUGCAAGUCGAACGGUAACAGGUCUUCGGAUGCUGACGAGUGGCGAACGGGUGAGUAAUACAUCGGAACGUGCCUAGUAGUGGGGGAUAACUACUCGAAAGAGUGGCUAAUACCGCAUGAGAUCUACGGAUGAAAGCAGGGGAUCGCAAGACCUUGUGCUACUAGAGCGGCCGAUGGCAGAUUAGGUAGUUGGUGGGAUAAAAGCUUACCAAGCCGACGAUCUGUAGCUGGUCUGAGAGGACGAUCAGCCGCACUGGGACUGAGAAACGGCCCAGACUCCUAAGGGAGGCAGCAGCGGGGAAUUUUGGGCAAUGGGCGCAAGCCUGAUCCAGCAAUGCCGCGUGCAGGAUGAAGGCCUUCGGGUUGUAAACUGCUUUUGUACGGAACGAAAAGCCCCGGGUUAAUACCCUGGGGUCAUGACGGUACCGUAAGAAUAAGCACCGGCUAACUACGUGCCAGCCGCCGCCGUAA